rnacentral:rRNA from 1 species
AUUGAACGCUGGCGGCAUGCCUUACACAUGCAAGUCGAACGGCAGCACGGGAGCAAUCCUGGUGGCGAGUGGCGAACGGGUGAGUAAAGUAUCGGAACGUGCCCAGUCGUGGGGGAUAACGUAGCAAAAGUUACGCUAAUACCGCAUACGAUCUAUGGAUGAAAGCGGGGGAUCGCAAGACCUCGCGCGAUUGGAGCGGCCGAUAUCAGAUUAGGUAGUUGGGGGGGUAAAGGCUAACCAAGCCGACGAUCUGUAGCUGGUCUGAGAGGACGACCAGCAACACUGGGGCUGAGACACAGCCCAGACUCCUACGGGAGGCAGCAGUGGGGAAUUUUGGACAAUGGGCGAAAGCCUGAUCCAGCCAUGCCGCGUGCAGGAUGAAGGCCUUCGGGUUGUAAACUGCUUUUGUACGGAACGAAAAGGUUUGGCCUAAUAAGCUGAGCUCAUGACGGUACCGUAAGAAUAAGCACCGGCUAACUACGUGCCAGCAGCCGCCGUAA